GACGAACGCUGGCGGCGUGCUUAACACAUGCAAGUCGAACGGAGAAGUAGAGCUUGCUCUACGGAUCAGUGGCGAACGGGUGAGUAACACGUGGGCAACCUGCCCCAGACUCUGGGAUAACUCCUCGAAAGAGGGGCUAAUACUGGAUAUUUGCAUUGCAAGACAUCUUGUGAUGCAGAAAGAAUUUCGGUCUGGGAUGGGCCCGCGGCCUAUCAGCUUGUUGGUGAGGUAACGGCUCACCAAGGCGACGACGGGUAGCCGGCCUGAGAGGGGGACCGGCCACACUGGGACUGAGACACGGCCCAGACUCCUACGGGAGGCAGCAGUGGGGAAUAUUGGGCAAUGGGCGCAAGCCUGAUCCAGCAAUGCCGCGUGCAGGAUGAAGGCCUUCGGGUUGUAAACUGCUUUUGUACGGAACGAAAAGCCCUGGGUUAAUACCCUGGGGUCAUGACGGUACCGUAAGAAUAAGCACCGGCUAACUAC
rnacentral:rRNA from 1 species